ensembl:lncRNA
GAAAAAGAUGUAAUGUAAAGCUGUUCGGUCAAAUUACUAAACUUUUGAUACAGUGCAGGAUGAAUUGAUGUUUUCAUGUUAACACCAAAUUCUGAAUAUCACAGCAGAAAUUAAGACUUGUGUGGCCCAGCUUCGGUGAGCCUGCUCCUAGCUGGCAGGAGUGGCAUCUGGUGUGGUCUUCUGUUGCUGUAGCCCAUCUGCUUCAAGGUUGUGCAUUCAGAGUGGAUCUUCUGCCUACCUUGGUUGUAACGAGUGGUCACUUAAGCCUUCCAAUUACCACAAAGCAGUCUGGCUGUUCUCGUGAAUGGACUGGUACUUAAAUAGUGCUUUUCUACAAUAACGCACAAACUCAUCGACUGGUGAGAGUUACUGCAACCGCUGCUCAAGCGCUGUGUGUGUGUGUG